rnacentral:piRNA from 1 species
UGAAAUACAUGAAUCUCUCUGGCCCC